rnacentral:lncRNA from 1 species
ACGGACAUGAUCUCAUUGUUGAUUCUGAACUGGAGCUCAACUAUGGAAGGUAAAACUUGUUAAUUUCUUGUAUUAUUGUGUAUCUUAGUUGAUGUUAAAGUUCUGACCUCUUAUUUUGCAGACGUUAUGGAUUGCUGGGACUGAAUGGCUGCGGGAAAUCUACACUUCUUAGUUGAUGUUAAAGUUCUGACCUCUUAUUUUUGCAGACGUUAUGGGUUGCUGGGACUGAAUGGCUGCGGGAAAUCUACUCUUCUUACCGCUAUAGGGCUGCGGGAACUUCCCAUCCCAGAGCACAUGGAUAUUUUUCAUCUUUCACGGGAGAUUGAUGCCUCUGACAUGUCUGCUCUUGAGGCCGUCAUUAAUUGUGAUGAAGAGAGGUUGAAAUUGGAGAAAGAAGCUGAAGCUUUAGCUGGACAGGUAUAAUGCUGUUAACAUUAAAUUAAUGCUCCACGGUUUUGGUUUUCUUUGGAUAAUAUGGUUAGUUUCGUUUGUGUUGUAGGAUGAUGGUGGUGGAGAGCAACUUGAACGGAUCUAUGAGCGUUUAGAAGCUAUGGAUGCAGCCACUGCUGAGAAGCGUGCUGCUGAGAUCUUGUUUGGUCUUGGAUUUGAUAAGAAAAUGCAAGCAAAGAAAACAUGUGAUUUCUCCGGUGGCUGGAGAAUGAGGAUUUCUCUUGCGCGAGCCCUAUUUAUGAAUCCAACAAUUUUGUUGCUUGAUGAACCAACAAACCAUCUUGGUAAUCUUCGCUUUACAUUUUCUAGCAUAGUAGAUCUUUCCUCAACUGUUAGGGUUUUGCCCUUGCUAGAUUUAUAUGAACAAUGUGUAGUUCUGUAUGAUGGCUCUUUUAGAGUUGACAUGUGUUAUUCUUCUUCCUGAAUGCAGACUUAGAGGCCUGUGUGUGGUUAGAAGAAUCCUUGAAGAAUUUCGAGCGCAUUCUGGUUGUCAUUUCACACUCCCAGGAUUUUCUCAAUGGUGUUUGUACCAAUAUCAUCCACAUGCAGAACAAGAAAUUGAAGCUGUAUACAGGAAACUACGACCAAUAUGUUCAAACCCGGUCAGAGCUAGAAGAGAACCAGAUGAAACAGUAUAAGUGGGAGCAAGAGCAGAUUGCUUCAAUGAAGGAAUACAUUGCUCGUUUUGGACACGGUUCAGCUAAGCUAGCCCGUCAAGCACAGAGUAAAGAAAAAACAUUGGCUAAGAUGGAGCGUGGUGGGCUUACAGAGAAGGUGGGGAGGGACAGUGUUUUGGUUUUCCGGUUUACUGAUGUUGGCAAACUUCCACCUCCUGUUUUACAGUUUUCAGAAGUCGCAUUUGGCUACACACCUGAGAACCUCAUCUACAAGAACCUUGAUUUUGGUGUAGAUCUUGAUUCCAGGAUAGCUCUUGUGGGGCCUAAUGGAGCUGGAAAGAGCACACUGCUUAAGCUGAUGAUAGGGGACUUAUUCCCCACUGAUGGCAUGGUUAAGCGGCAUAAUCACCUUAAAAUUGCGCAGUAUCACCAGCACUUGGCUGAGAAGCUAGACAUGGACAUGUCUGCUCUUCAGUACAUGAUGAGAGAGUACCCUGGGAAUGAGGAGGAGAAGAUGAGGGCAGCAAUUGGGAGGUUUGGCCUCACAGGUAAAGCUCAAGUAAUGGCUAUGAAGAACUUGUCAGAUGGUCAACGUAGUAGGGUGAUUUUUGCAUGGUUGGCUUAUAGGCAACCUCACAUGCUGCUGUUGGAUGAGCCAACCAACCAUCUUGAUAUUGAGACAAUUGACUCACUUGCAGAGGCAUUGAAUGAAUGGGAUGGUGGGAUGGUUCUAGUUAGUCAUGAUUUUAGGCUCAUAAACCAGGUUGCCCAUGAGAUAUGGGUAUGUGA